rnacentral:rRNA from 1 species
AGCAGCCGCGGUAAUUCCAGCUCCAAUAGCGUAUAUUAAAGUUGUUGCAGUUAAAAAGCUCGUAGUUGAAUUUCGGGGUCAGUAGGCUGGUCGUGCCACAGGUACGCACUGGUCUCACUGAUUCCUCCUUCCUGAUGAACCGUAAUGCCAUUAAUUUGGUGUUGCGGGGAGACUGGACUGUUACUUUGAAAAAUUAGAGUGUUUAAAGCAGGCUAACGCUUGAAUACAUUAGCAUGGAAUAAUGAAAUAGGACGUUCGGUCUUAUUUUGUUGGUUUCUAAGAUUGACGUAAUGAUUAAUAGGGAUAGUUGGGGGCAUUAGUAUUCAAUUGUCAGAGGUGAAAUUCUUGGAUUUAUUGAAGACUAACUACUGCGAAAGCAUUUGCCAAGGAUGUUUUCAUUAAUCAAGAACGAAAGUUAGGGGAUCGAAGACGAUCAGAUACCGUCGUAGUCUUAACCAUAAA